CUGACAAGCCGCCCGCAGAAAGCUACAUAACCUUGGAGUAUCAAUCUUUGGCAUAACUACAGCAUCAGAGGUAUCUCUUUGUUCACUGCCUAAAAAAAACAGGUUAUAUAAAAUCAACGAAGUUGACUCUAAAAUAAUCACACAUUACACAUCUUAAGAGUUCAAACAGGCCUAACAAAUCAACAUUAAGAGUCCUAGAAGGAAAAGACAGAAAACUUCAAGCUAUACUCUCUAGAUUUACUACCGUUAACUCCCAAAAACAACUGCAUAUUGUUUUACAGAAGUCUGUAAAUGCAUUUAGAAAAACAUUCAGGCCAGGCAUGGUGGCUCACGCCUGUAAUCCCAGCACUUUGGGUGGCCGAGGCAGGUGGAUCAUCUGAGGUCAGGAGUUCAAGAGCAGCCUGGCCAACAUGGCGAAACCCCAUCUCUACUAAAAAAUACAAAAAUUAGCCAGGCAUGAUAGCAGACGCCUGUAGUCCCAGCUACUUGGGAGGCUGAGGCUUAGCUGUCUCAGAGAUACCCACAAAUAGAAUUCAUAAUGGUGUACCCAGAUGUCUCUGGAACCUGUGGCAUCAUACAGAUGCAUAGCAUCUGAGGCUUCCUCCCCUUCCUCAAUCCA
rnacentral:lncRNA from 1 species